rnacentral:tRNA from 2 species
UAUUCUAUUUAAACUACUUCUUG